GGCGUAAAGAGCUCGUAGGUGGUUUGUCGCGUUGUUCGUGAAAUCUCACGGCUUAACUGUGAGCGUGCGGGCGAUACGGGCAGACUUGAGUACUGCAGGGGAGACUGGAAUUCCUGGUGUAGCGGUGGAAUGCGCAGAUAUCAGGAGGAACACCGGUGGCGAAGGCGGGUCUCUGGGCAGUAACUGACGCUGAGGAGCGAAAGCGUGGGGAGCGAACAGGAUUAGAUACCCUGGUAGUCCACGCCGUAAACGGUGGGUACUAGGUGUGGGUUUCCUUCCUUGGGAUCCGUGCCGUAGCUAACGCAUUAAGUACCCCGCCUGGGGAGUACGGCCGCAAGGCUAAAACUCUAAGAAAUUGACGGGGGCCCGCACAAGCGGCGGAGCAUGUGGAUUAAUUCGAUGCAACGCGAAGAACCUUACCUGGGUUUGACAUGCACAGGACGCCGGCAGAGAUGUCGGUUCCCUUGUGGCCUGUGUGCAGGUGGUGCAUGGCUGUCGUCAGCUCGUGUCGUGAGAUGUUGGGUUAAGUCCCGCAACGAGCGCAACCCUUGUCUCAUGUUGCCAGCGGGUAAUGCCGGGGACUCGUGAGAGACUGCCGGGGUCAACUCGGAGGAAGGUGGGGAUGACGUCAAGUCAUCAUGCCCCUUAUGUCCAGGGCUUCACACAUGCUACAAUGGCCGGUACAGAGGGCUGCGAUGCCGCGAGGUUAAGCGAAUCCUUUUAAAGCCGGUCUCAGUUCGGAUCGGGGUCUGCAACUCGACCCCGUGAAGUCGGAGUCGCUAGUAAUCGCA
rnacentral:rRNA from 1 species